rnacentral:rRNA from 1 species
CCUACGGUGGGCAGCAGUGGGGGAUAUUGGACAAUGGGGGGAACCCUGAUCCAGCGACGCCGCGUGAGUGAAGAAGUAUUUCGGUAUGUAAAGCUCUGUCAGCAGGGAAGAAAGAAAUGACGGUACCUGACCAAGAAGCCCCGGCUAACUACGUGCCAGCAGCCGCGGUAAUACGUAGGGGGCAAGCGUUAUCCGGAUUUACUGGGUGUAAAGGGAGCGUAGACGGCAGCACAAGUCUGGAGUGAAAUGCCGGGGCUUAACCCCGGAACUGCUUUGGAAACUGUGCAGCUAGAGUGCAGGAGAGGUAAGUGGAAUUCCUAGUGUAGCGGUGAAAUGCGUAGAUAUUAGGAGGAACACCAGUGGCGAAGGCGGCUUACUGGACUGUAACUGACGUUGAGGCUCGAAAGCGUGGGGAGCAAACAGGAUUAGAUACCCGUGUAGUC